AGUGAUUUUGGAGGGAGAAUUGAGAAUUCUUUUGUCAUUUGAUUACGAUUCUUUAUGACCAAAAUCCCCUUCAGUGUCCUUUCUUCUUAACUGAUGUUUCAAUAUUAGGUUUAUUAUGGUGAUGGUUUCAUUCUAAUUAAUUGCAGUUAGGAUAACGACAAAAAUCCCCUUUUAUGUUCGUCUUCGAUUGUUGUGGCUUGUGGAAGUUGAGGUGUAGGUGAUUUGGAAGCCAGUCUGAACCAUUUUCGGUGUGGUCUGGGUUCAUUCAUUGCCUUCGACCUUUGAGCAGUUCGGUUUAUAACCAAAAUUCCAUUUCUUGUUCGUGCAAUUAACUAAUCUCGGAAGCCAUUUGAAUUCGUCACUUAUUGUGUAAUGGGUAGUAUGAGGCAGGAAGACUGUAUUACUUUAGAUGAGGAUGGGUUUGAUAAUGGAGUGCAUGAUAACAACAAUGAAGGUGAAAAUGGGUUUGUUAAUGAGUUAUCAGAUAACAACAGUGGGGGGGAAAAUGUAGAUAGUAAUGAAAAUGAGGAAGCUAGGGAGUUUAUGAAAUCAAUGACAAUUAACAGCUGAUGAUAUUAUAGGGAUGUAUUUUAAAACUAUGGAAGAAGCUGUUAUGUUUUAUGAAAAAUAUGCUCUGUAUAUGGGGUUUGUUUCCAGGAAGGAUGAUAUUCGUCAUAAUAGUAAUAAGAGCAUUAUCUGUCGUGAAUUAGUGUGUAGUAAACAUGGAAAUAGGCGUAAUAAAUAUGCAGAUUGAUCGGGUUAGAGAGGCAAAACCCAUUACAAGAGUAUCAUGUCCAACUAGAUUUCAUGUGCGUUUAGUGAGCAAUUGUGGUUUGUGGAAAUUUGUUUGUUUUGAGGAGUCUCACAAACAUAACUUGGAACCUCCUGAUAAAGUUCGUUUGGUAUCUGCAUAUCAACAAAUGAGUGAGGCUGACAAGGCACAAAUUGAUGGCUUCAUGUUUCAUGGCUUUAGGACUUCCAAUAUAAAUGAACUUGAUAGGGGUGGAAAAAAUGGUCAUGAUAGUACUCCAUUUAUGAAAUAUGAUGUAUACAAUUAUGUUGAGAAGAAGAGGGCUAGGGUUCAAAACGAGGAUGUCGUUGCUGCAUUAUCAUAUCUGCACGCUAAGUUUGAGGGUGAUCCUCUUUUUUUCUACAAGUAUAAAAAAAAUAGUGAAGGAUAUCUUGAACACUUAUUUUGGUGUGAUGGAGUUAGUAGGGUUGAUUACCAUGUGUUUAGUGAUGUGGUUGGCUUUGAUAGCAUCUGUAAGAAAAACAGGUAUAACAAACCUCUCGUUCUUUUUUGUGGAUAUAACCAUUAUGGACAAACUACAAUUUUAUGUUGUGCAUUGGUUGAAAAAUGAAACGAUAAAAACAUAUAAGUGAGUUUUGGAAACCUUUGUUGAAUGCAUGUUUGAUAAACAUCCUUAAGCAUUUGUGACCGAUGGGGAUGUUUCCAUGAGUGAAGCUAUUAGGAGUGUGUGUUUCCUAACUCUAGACACAGGCUGUGUGGUUGGUAUAUACAACAAAAUGCUUUGGAAAAAAUUAAGAUUCCUGAAUUCUUGGAUGACUUUUCAGUUUUGGUAUAUGGUAACUUCUAUGAGGAAAGGUUUGAAUCUUUUUGGCCAAAGGUUAUUGAAAAAUAUAAUCUUUCUGAAGAUAAGUGGAUGAAAUUUUUUUAUGAGAUGAAGUCUAUGUGGGCUAGUGCAUAUCUGAGGAACAAUUUUUUUUGCAAGAAUAAGAACUACCCCCAUGUGUGAAGGUAUUAACUCAUUAUGUAAGACCUUGAAUCAAAUAAAUAGUUUUAUUUACUUAUUUUCCAUAAUUUAUAGCAACGCGUGCUAUUUUAUCUUGUAUUUGUGUUUGAAAUAUUAUUCGUACCACUAUGACGGGAAAGAUCUAUGGAGUAAUUGCCUUAUAUUAAUUAAUUGAGUGUUUAUAUUUUAUUAUUUUAUAUUAUUUUAGGAUUUUAUUUUUCUAAGUUAACACACACCAACUUGUAAUCUCUCUCUUUCAUGAAGAGAUGACCUCCCUCUGUGAUGACCUAUGAUGAUCUUCUCCUUAUCCCUCCAAGAUUUCCAGGCAAAGAGAAUUGAGGAGAUUCUCCCUCAACCAAUGAGAACUGGACACCUAAGUGCACUCUCCCUCCUCCUUAUCUCAACACUCUCACCUCCACUACACACCUCGCUCUCCUUAUCCCAUCCCAUUCACGCUCUGUCACUCAUCACUCUCCUUCACUAUUGUUUUCUCUUUACAACCACACACAUCUUCUCUUUUCUCUCUCUUUCGCUCUCACUCUCAUUCUCUCUCAGCAACAACAACAACAACCACACCCACAAUUCCUUAUCAUCAUCCCCAUUUGCUUUUUGUCCUUCAAUCAAGAGCCACCUCCACCAUGUUUCCUCUACCAUCUUCUUUCCACGAGGACCACACCACCACCACGAGCUCCUCCUCGACUCCUCCCAUGGCAGUGGAAGCCUCCAUCACCACAGGCCCCCCUCCUCUGUCGACGAGCGUUGAUAACUGAGAUGCAAAUAAGUAACACAAGAAAGUGCAGUGGAAAUAAGUAAGUAAAGCAGAACGAUCAGCACACAGAGAUUUAUACUGAUUCACCCUAAAUGAUUGGGCUACGUCCAGUACUUGGCCACCACCAAGAUUUUCACUAGCAAGUAUCAAGACUUCUCCAAUACAAGUAUUCAACAAGACUUCUCCCACAAGUAUUAUCACGAACUUCUCCAAGUAUUCUACAGGACUCCUCCUACGAGUAUUAAUCAGGACUUCUCCAAUAAUCUUACAAAGAUUAAAUCACUCUACGAAAUUUCUCUUCAUUCAAGAGUAGUGGUAGAGAAUUUAUGGUACUGGAACUCUAAGUGGUUGGGUUUAGAUCUGACUUUGAAUCACUUAAGAGUUCUGAAACUAAGUGAGAAGAGAAUAAAAAUAUUUGACUAUUUUAAGGUACGAGGUUCUCUCUUUCACUUGCAGAAGUAAAGGCUUGUGUUUGACUCUUAGAAACUUUAUGCUUGAGCUUUGAAUGCUUUUGAGAAGAUCGGAAUAAAUGCUUGAGUUCUUGUUCUUUCAGAAUUAAUUCUGUUUGUCUUCAAUCUUCAAGAGUGCCUUAUAUACUCGCUUGCUAGUGUUGUAGCCGUUGUGAGACAAAAUCCAACCGUUGCUCUAGCCGUCGUGAAAUGAGAUCAAACCGUUGAUUCAAAUGACUUUGGUUGGUAGCUCCAUUUAAUGCGAGCUCAGAAGUAAGUCUAUCCUUUACCCGUAAAGAUGAUGUUUGUCAGCUAGUAGGUGGUGAUAGACUUGGGCUACUUAAUUUUCAGACAUGAGACAAUUGGAAAAUAUGAUGUUGACGGCUUGUACUUUUCCCUUGUUGGUCAGCGUGCCUUUAGCUGAAGUAAACUAGUCUUCACGUGAUCUGAUUUGAAUAUAAGUCAAUUGGUUGCCUUUUGAUUUGAACGUUGGGCAACUGGUUACAAUCAAACUUUAACUUUGGCGCUCAAAAUUUGUCUUCAAUAAAUCUGACUGAUGAUGUGGCAUUGGACGAUCAGAGACUUGAAUCUUGAGUGAGAGUCAGUUUGCUUCCCAAACUGUUUUGUAACUUCUGAAGCUUUACUUUUAUGAGAUGAUAGAACGUUGAAGCAUAUAACAUUACUUGAGUUUCUCCUGAAAUUCAAAUGCUAUAGUGAGUUCAAUUUUCAAUGAGACUUUUGUAAAAUUGUUAUAAUCAAAAUAAGAUUUUAAAAACGUUAUGAUGCGUUUGAACUUAACAGAUAACCAUCACCACCUUGGCUCCUCCUUCCUCCACGACACCCUACACCAU